ensembl:lncRNA
AUACAUGAGAUACAAAACUGUAAGACUGAAGCUUGUACGUAGGUCGGUAUUGGUUUAAGUGUGGAGAAGACAAGAGAUGCACCUGGGGACAAGUUCCAAGUUCCCUCAUGUGAAUCUUCUACAGAGGCAUCCAGAGCACGUCAGCCUUGGCGUGAUCAGACUGAAGGUCAAAGAAGCCCAGCCUACGUGACCCCAAGGAAACCUCCUUUAUCCUCCCCUGAUCUCCUGCAUCUGGAAGAUUCAUGCUAAGGUGCAGCUGGUCUGCGCUCAUAAGGGGAAGGGAAGUCUGUAGCUCAACAUCUUUUGUAUUCUUCAGUGUAAUGUCUGUUUAUAUGAACAAAACACAGGAUUAGAGUAAAACACUGAAGCAGUCCCAGCAGGAAUGGCAAAAACAAUUCUAUUGCUUAUUUCCCCAGAGCCCUCAUCAUGUUAAAACCUCCUAGUCUCUCAAAUAGAUAGCUAGAGGAGAACAAAGAUAACCCCUCCCCAGCCACAAUGGAAGGAAACUCAUUGCUGUAUCAUCUUGAGCCAUGACAGCCUCUCAUAUUUGAGUAUGUAUCACUGGCAAAGAUUUGAGUGUUGUGCUUAUCCAGGGUUGUGUUCAGUCACAUCAGUGG